ensembl:lncRNA
UAUUUUUUGGGAGAAGCAAGUUGUUAAUGUUGUUAAUUUUGUUAAUGUUGUGAUCCUAAUACACAAAGGCGCAGUCCUUUAAGCCUGCAGACAUAUACCACAUACAGCCACUGGAGAGAGAGAGUUGUAGUGUGCCUCUGUGUUGCAUAUACAUAUACGGAGAGAGUGAGAGUUGUAGUGUGCCUCUGUGUUGAUACACAUAUACGGAGAGUGAGAGUUGUAGUGUGCCUCUGUGUUGAUACACAUAUACCACAUACAGCCACUGGAGAGAGAGAGUUUUGUAGUGUGCCUCUGUGUUGAUACACAUAUACCACAUACAGCCACUGGAGAGAGAGAGUUUUGUAGUGUGCCUCUGUGUUGAUAUACAUAUAC